rnacentral:rRNA from 1 species
UGCGUAGGCGGCGUCGUAAGUCAGAAGUGAAAGCUCACAGCUUAACUGUGAAAUUGCUUUUGAUACUGCGGUGCUUGAAUUAGGUUGAGGUUAGCGGAAUGUGACAUGUAGCGGUGAAAUGCAUAGAUAUGUCAUAGAACACCAAUUGCGAAGGCAGCUGGCUAGGCCUAUAUUGACGCUCAGGCACGAAAGCGUGGGGAGCAAACAGGAUUAGAUACCCUGGUAGUCC